GCCUCUGCCUGAGGAUCUGUGAUGAACUCCUGCCUGGAAUGGUCAGCAGCUGGGUGCCUACAGCUCCUUCCAGAAGGGCAGAAAUUGCAAAUGUGAAUCACCUGUAGGAGAGGAAAGAGUUGGGCUGUAAGUAUGAUGCCUUGGUAAACAUCCUAAAACUGGGUUAUGAUAUAAAGGAGGAACAAAGGAGUCUUAUCCUACCUGGAUUUUAAAUGAAUCAAUUGUGGUCUUCCAAAAUGCAGAGUUAUUGGGGGAGGGUUCAGGGCUGAUUGCAAAGAAGACAAAAAUAUUCUCUGAGGCAGUGGAAGAGAAGUAAAAGAGGCCAGAUUUAAUAUCUUUUGGAUACAUUUAUGCUCAAUGUGUUACAGAGAAAUAUGAUGAAGGAAGGGUGAGGGAUCGUUAUUAAGUGACAUGGGUGAUGACCUACAAGGGAAGAUUAUGGUACUUUAAUGUUAAACAUGCUGUUGCUCAUCAAAUGCUAAAGUUGAAUAACUUCCUUUCAAAGAGCCAAACAUUGAAGUUCCAGAUGGCAGCUGCAGGAGGCAGAUCUAGCAGCUGUGACACAGGUUGACUGGCUGGUUUUGGGCACCUCGCUUUGCUAUAAAGCUGAAUGGGGCUGUAGAGGGAAACAGCCUGAGAUUUGUCUUGCCAACUACAGUCUCAGCUUCAAGGAGCUGAAUGAUUUGCUGAGGAUGUUAAUUUCAAAAGCCAGACAGCAAGAGAUCAGCUGAGAUGAAAGAUCACUGCAAAGUGACCUCACACCAGGGGAAGAGAAAAGAAGAGGAGGGUGUGGUUAAGAGCAGGAAUUUAGUGCUGUAUAGUCUAGCAGUGAACCACAGCAGAUGCAUUUUGAUACCAAAGGUGAUCUUCAUGUGACUAUGGUCACGGUCUGUGGAGAGAAGGGGAGCAUAAUUCACCUGGCUUAUUUUAGAUAUCGACAUCGGGAUGUGGUAAAUUAAUACCCAAGGCUCACAGGUUUAUAAAACUUGGUCAGAAUUUCUGCAAUUAGAUGCUUCACUUCCAGGGUCCACAGAGUUGGUGAAGUGUAGGUGUGUACAAACCUAAAAUGAGCCACCACCUGCCUUAUCUAUAUGUAAUCAUGAGCUUGUCUGAUCACUACACCUGUGAUAUUAGAUUUCAUGACAGUGGAAAUUGUAGCUAAGUAGAGACAGCAUAUAAUGAGAACUAGUUGAUCGGGACCUUUGUCAACAACAAACACAGUAAACUAAAUUUCUUUGAUCUUUAAAAUAAUUUUCAGUCAUGAGAAGUUAAUAAGAAUUUCAAAGCUUUUCUCCAUGAAAUGUUCACUGUUGAAAUCAGUUUUGAAUUUGUGUAGUUAAACUGUUAUACAUCCCUGAACAGAUAAAUUAAAAUUAGUUUAAUCCUAUUGUACUUUGGCUUUAACUUAGUUUGGCAGUCUAGCACUGCAAGUAAUACUGCUUUCACUUAGGGAUUGUCACUGCUUCACUUUAAUAAAUUAAUUAGCAAGACAUAAAGUGAGUGAAUCUGAGGGGCUUUGAGAGGUGUGGGCUAGAUCUUCCCCAGAGAGCUAAAACCACUGGUAGGUGGGUGCCACUUCUCAGUGCAACACAGCAUUAAUGAAGAGGUUGUCGUGAAGCUUGUUUAGGUGGCAUAUUCCUUGAGUCUGCUUAUCUAUGCUCAGAGAAGGAGGUAGGCAGAAGGAAAAGCAUGACCCAGUGUUAACAAGGACCUCCCUCUUUGGUCCAUUCCACACUACUUCAUCUAUCAUCUGCCAGAAGAAAAAAAACAAAGACUAACUACAUUCGUUUGACUGAAGCAUUGAUUUGGCCAAGAAACAAUGCUUUGUCACAUCCAAACAAAAUGAAAACAAAAAUCUGUAAUCAACAUAGCCAUCAUGGUUACUGACUCAGACGCUACAGGGCUAAACACAGGCAGUUCCUGAGCUGGAUGCUUGAGGAUCCCUGGACAACUGUAUUUUCAGCUGAUAAGGCUCAGUCUGUACUGAAGAGGAAGCUGGCCAAUGGAGCCUAUCCUCUGAAAAGCUAGAAGUCUGGGUGCACCUGAUCCUCAUCAGCUGUCAGUGAACUUUUUGGAAAUGGCUCUUUUGUCUCCUCCACCAUGGUGAUGAUAUACCUCCAAUAAAGCUAAUUCGGACAAGGGGUUUAGCUUUUUGACAGGUAAUAUAGAAGAAAGGAUCAUCUUGCUCACUGAUUAAGGUUCUAUCUUUUUAUGACACCAUUAACUGCAUCAGUACUCCAACCUCUGCAAUUCAGGUACCGUCUGCAGGCCUGUUGUUGAGAAGUGAUGCUAAGCAAUUUCUAGCCAUCAGGAAUCUUCUCUCUUUCCGUCCCACACACACCCUUGGAAAUGAGGCAUGAUUUUGCUGUUCAGAGAGAAGGAUGCCUUUGUAAGGAUCUUUUUCCAUGUAGUGAUAGUAGUCAGCAGUCUCUUGAUUUUUCUCUAUGGCUGAACACUUCAUCCCAUGUUAUUCCCUUUUUAAAAUGGGAAAAAUGAUGUUUGGUCCUCUCCCAGUAAUGCCACAGGGGUUAAAUACACUACAUCUUGAGAUUUGUUUUUGUUCUACGUGAUGAAGUCUAUGUAUGGACUGCAGAUAUACAGCUUUCUUUCUCUUUUAAAACUUCAGCUCACUUACUGCUGCUGUUUCACAGCUUGAUCUGUUUGGUUGGGCCAUAAUACAGAGCACAACUGAAUGGCUGAAUUACAAAGACAAAACAAAUCAGAAGUACAAGGAGAGAAUUAAACACUUUUGAUCAGCCUUUCUCCUGCACUUACUGUUUAAUUUAAACCAGAGCUGUUUCUUUCUGUAGUAGUCAUUCAUCUCCAAGAAGUGAAAAUACACUUGCAAAACUAAUAAAUGUGAAUCUAUUUGCAAAGAUAUGUAUUUAUGCGCCUAGCACUUCAGGGUGUUUAGAGGGUAAUCUCAAACUGUGAGCACAGCACUCUGUAAAUUUUGAAGCAAUUUUUCUAAAUGUCAAGUAUUUAUUACAUGAAAAAAACAUUUGGAGUGUGGAGCAGGUCCCUGGUGAUAUAUGGUGCAUUUGGGGAAGGGCUUCUUGGAUGAACGGAAAUAAUGUUUGAGUGCUGAAAAGCAAAUCCUCUGCUUGAAAUCUCUUUGUGUACAUGGAAAGGAAAUUGAACAAAGCUGGAAAGCUAGUCAAGUAUUUUGCUUUGUCUCUUGCAUAAACUUAAUAUAAAAUAGUGAUUUUCCAAGCCUUUUAUAUGUAAGCUUAUUCCAGCUUUUCUUAGUCUGCGGCAUGUCUACCUCCUCAGCUCAGAUUGCUGCUGUCUCCUUCUCAUCCCCUUAACAGCUCCAGAGAGCUCAGUUCAGACUGCAGGCAAAUAAAGCCUGCAGGAUUUAUUCAUGUUAGCUUUUACCCACGUAAUACCUCACCUUAAUGGCAACAUAUCUCAAAGUACAAAGUAGUGAAGUGCAUCUCUGACUGGAGGCUGAUGAUGUGCUGGAAGUUUUACUCACCUCCCUUGGAAGACUGACUUCAUGCCUCAGCCUCUAAUGCUUCUCAAGAGAAAAAUAGCCAAUAUAGUUGGUUCUUUGUGGUCAGUCUAGGAGUUAGUAAAAUGCUUUCUACCAAUAGCAUUAUAACAGUUUCCCCUCUGCUUUUAUGACUCUUUUUGUGUCCAGAUAUAGCCUUAUAUUCCCUAUCUACUCUGCAGCUAGUGCAUAUUCUGAAGCUACCAUAUUACUGUUGUGUACUGUUUGGGUUCAGUCUGCAGAUGUCUGUGAUGUUUCUGAUGGAGCUAAGGAAAGCCUUUCAGUUCCUGGGCAAAGUGAUACACACUGAGAUACUGAUACACUGCUUGAUGCUCUACUGAGUGCAGUGCAUCUCACUAUCACUGCACUGUGGGGCAGCAGCACAGGAAGCUGUGAUCACAGAAUCAUUAAGUUUGGAUAAGACCUCUAAGAUCAUCUAAUUCAACUAUCAACAUGUCACCACCAUAUCAUUAAACCAUGUCCCUCAGUGCCACAUCUACCCUUUUCUUGAAUGCCUUCAGGAGGAAUGACUACACAACCUCCCUGGGCAGCUUGUUCCAGUACCUCACCGCUCUUUUGGGGAAUAAAUUUCUCCUUAUACCCAAUCAGAACCUCUUCUGGUGCAACUUAAGGCAUUUACUUCUUUUCCUCUCUCUAGUUACAUGGGAGAAGAAGCCAAAUCCCACCUUGAUACAAUCUCCUUUCAGGUAGUUGUAGAGAGCAACAAGGUCUCCCUUGAGUCACCUCUUCUCCAGACUGAAAAAUUCCAGUUUCCUCAGCUGCUCCACAUAUGACUUGUGCUUCAGACCCCUCACCAUCUUUGUUGCUCUUCUCUGGACACACUCCACACAAGGAAGCCUCGAUGUCUUUCUUGUAGUGAGGGGCCCAAAAAUAUGCCAGUGCAUGCUCCAAACUUGCCAUCUUUAUCUGGUCCACCUCACUGGGACCUUCAAAUCAAUGCAACCUCCUGUAGAGACCCACCUGUGAGAGGAAAAAAGAAAUCUUCAUACAGUGUGUGUAACUACACAGUCAGUAGGGAUAUCACUGCCCAGUCCUUCAGGAGUUUGCCAGGUAGAGAGGUGUAUCUGUGGACUUGAGCUAGGUUACGCUGACUCAAUAGGUCAGUGGUGGCAUCAGGGUACCCAACUGCAUUGUUGUCAGUGCUGCUUUCCUCAUGCUUAAGGUACCAACCUGUGAAGGCAUAAACAAGGAUCUUGGCCAGCCUCCUCCCUCAUCCCCCCCCAAAGUCAGAGCUCCCACAUUCCCCCUGAGAGCUGAGUGCCAGGCAGAUGGGGGGCAGGAGGGUCUCUAGUGGAUAGGCCCUGCUGUGCUGGACCCUGAGACAAGGUGUGUGAAAAGAGGCCCUGCAUCUUAAUAGUUCAUCUUACACAUUUGGGGAAGAGAAUUAGCAGGCUUUCAUCUGAAACCCUUUUUCAUGUCUAAAACAGGUGACACAAUGUUCAAAGCAGUUGCUUCAAGUUCAAUUAUAUACACUGGAGCUGCACUGCAUGAAGGAAAAGGUGGUUAGACACUUACGGAUAAAAGGCGAGAAACGCUAAGAAUAUAUCUUGCAAAGGAAAGAGAGAGAUAUGCAAUUUAUACUUUGUGUGAAAAGUGAAAGGUUAGCGGUGAUGAGGACAGACCAGUUGCAGGUACUGAUAUUAAAUAUCCAAGCAGGAAGGAAAAAUGCUCUGGAAGUCCGCUUCAAUCAAGCUGAACUUCAAAAGGAAGCUUUCAUCAAACAUAAGCACCAAUUCUUAUUAAAAAAAAAAAAAAGUAAGAAAAAAGAAAAAAAGAAACUAAAAGGCUGGAAGUUGAGAAGACACAAAGAGACAUUUUGAUACCACACUAACACUGAACACUGCCUCUUAUAUUGCAGAAAACCCUCUUAAAAACAAAUAAGCAAACAAAACCACAGCAGAACAGCUCAAUUAAAAAAAAAAAAAGAGAGAGAGAUGAAUAUUAAAGUUGACGAAAAUCACGUUCACAUGAGAAAAACAGAAAAUUCUGGAAAGUAAAUGAAAAGUAAAUCUCCAGAUCGAAUACCAGCUCAAGAGGCAAGUUGCUAAUAAAAAAUACUUUCACACACAUCCAAAACAUUGUGCCUACUUGAAACUUAGUACAACUUCAAAUGAAAAAGUGAAGAGGCAGAAGAAUUACUCAACAGAAGUAAGGCCAUAGGAAAAUUAUUGCAUGAUUACAGCUUGAUAAUAAGGUCAGGGAGCCCCAUGUCAUAGGUGAAGAACAAACUCGAACUGAAGAGGUUUAGGGACAAAUAGGUAAGAAAAAUAGGGGAUGACAACAAUCAAAUAAGUCUGAAGUGAUUCAAGGGAAAACUGCUCUUUGCUAGUUCAGUUGCUGCAUUCAGUGCUGGAGCAAUAGUCAAUGGCCAGUAAAACUUCAGACUCCAAUAAGGCUCCAGGCCAGCGCUGAAAUCUACAGAGCAAUAAAUCUAACAUUUUUAUCUUGUAAAAUCAGAAGAAGAAACUGUAAAAGCAACUAUACUGAGUAAAAUUCCACAUGCAUUUUUUUCCUGAGGAAGUCACGCCUCAUGAAUCUAGUGGAGAUGUCUGUAAGGAUUUUACACGUUUGGUAGGAGCCAUUGAGUCCCUCAAAGGCAAAGAGGCCUUACAGAGAGAUCAUGACAAACCAGGGGGCUGGGCAACAACAACAACAUGAAGUUUAAUAAGAGCGAUUACUGAAUUCUGCACUUAGGUCAGUGCAAUCCUGGGUACAUUUACAGUUUAGAGGAUGAGAGACUGGACAGCAACCCCACAGAGAGAGCUCUGGUGGCCUGGGUGACAGCGAGGUGAAUGUGAGCCAGCAGUGUGCCCUGGCAGCCCAACUGUGCCCUGGGCUGCAGCAGGCUCAGCACUGCCACCAGGCAAGGGAGGGGCUGUUCCGCUCUGCUCUAUGCGGCCUCAGCUCCAGCACUGGGUAGAGUUUGGAGUGCCACAGUACAGGAAGGACAUAAAACUACUAGAGAGUGUCCAAAGAAGGCCUAUGAAAGUGGUGAAGGGUCUAAAAGUCAAGAUGUAUGAGGAGCAGCUGAGGUCCCUGGGUUUGCUCAGCCUAGAGCAGAGAAGCUGAGGGGAGCUGCCAUGGCGGCUGCUCCUCACAGGGAGCAGAGGGCAGUGCUGAGCUCUGCUCUGUGUGACAGCGACAGGGCCCGAGGGAACGGCAUGGAGCUGGUCAGGGGACGGGCAGCUGGGGCUCAGGGGAACGGUCUGCACCAGAGGUUGGGCGGGAGCGUGGAACAGGCUGCCCGGGGCAGGGGGUGCAGCCUCAACUGCUAGAGCUGAAGGAGUGCCUGGACAGCACUCUCAGUCACUGGGUUUGAAAAUUGGGUGGUGCUGUGUGGAGCCAGGGGUUGGACUUGAUGAUCCUUGUGGGUCCAACCCAGGGAUAUUCUAUGGUUCUGUGAUUCUUUGUGGGUAAGGGUGAGACAAAUGGAAAGUUUUGCCAGAAGUUUUUGCAGAAUUCUAAGGAGUAACAGGGAAAGAUCCUCUCUACUUCAAGUCAGAAAGCGGGGAAAAGACAUACAUAAUUGGAGUGGAAAUGCUGAGUCAUGGCUUGAAACAGUGAUUGAGCACCUGGUGGGAAGGCAGGGCCAGCCCAGAGGAGCUCAGGUGUAUGCAAUGCAGCUGAGUGACCAGAAGGGGUGCAGCCAGGAUCCACCCCUUCCCAGACAUUCAAGGAUUCAUAGUGGAAGCAAGAGUAUCUUGCUGGAGAUUCUUGUAUGCCUGAGCUUUUCUGAGGUGUGCUCGAUGUAAGGAUCUGUCAGACAGGAGAAACAUUUCCACAGGCUGCAGUUCGUGUAACCCACCACAGGGGGACAGCUGAUAUACGUCUCUGAAAAAGAGCUGGGCAGAAAAUGUCAGGCUGAGGAGUUUGCAUGGAAACCAUUACACGCCACUCUGCAGAGAUUGGGCUCCUACGGACUUGCCCUUUUCUGAGGCAGUGAGUUUGGCUGCUGUGGACCGAAGCUCAAAACCAGCUUUCACCUGUGGGCUCUUCAUGGGGCCAGGACCCCAGCAGUGGCUUUGGUGGUUGUUCUACAUAGUCCCAUGUGCAGAUCAGGGCUGUAAUAUCUGUCUCAUGGGAUUUGUGAACACUCACUGAAGCAGUUGCUGAAGUGAGGUCUGGUAUGUGCACUGCAUGAGAAAGGUCUGUGAGUUUGCAGCUGAAAUCUGUAGUAUUCUGCAUGAGCACGAAAGGACCAAGUGAAGAUUCAAAAUGUGAUUUUUAUUUUUGGCACCUCCUAGUUCUGUAUGUGUGACUGCUCUCAAGCAAAUGUCUGUUAAAGCAAUUAAUUAUAUGCAAAUGACUUCAGAGAUUUCAGUAAUAUCCAGGCUUCUCUUCUUUUCCCUUGUGAAUUAAUUUGAAAUUAGAAUGUCUGAUGUUUACCUGUCAUUAGGGCAUCAGUGAGCUCCUCUAUCCAGCCAUUCAGCCACUCAUCUCUGAAUGUAGGGGUUCACGCUCCUGGGCAUCUCCCUUUACACCAGCUGGCUUAAGCAACCCCUGUGCUGUGAGACCUCAUGUGGAGUCCUCAGUGCGGAGAAAUGUGGGCCUGUUGGAAUACAUCCAGAGGAGGGACACACAAAUGAUCCAAGGGAUCAUUUGAGGGCAGGCUGAGAGAGCUGGGGCUGUGCAGCCUGGGGGAGAGAAGGCUCUGAGGAGAUCUGAGGGUGGCUGUUUGGUAUCUAAAAUGGGGCUAUAAGAAAGAAGGGGACAGACUCUUUAUCAGGAUCUGCUGUGAGAGGACAAGGGGAAAUGGUUUCAAAUAAAAGGAGGGGAGAUUUUGGAUAUAAGGAAGGUGUUUGUUAAUAAGAAUGGUGAGGCACUGAAACAGGUUGCCCAGAGAGGUGAUGGAAACCUUAUCAUUGGAGAUGUUCAAGGUCAGGCUGGAUGGGGCUCUGUGCACCUGAUCUGGUUGUAGGUGUCUCUGCUUAUUGCAGAGGAGUUAAACUAGGUGGCUUUUAAGGGCCCCUUCCAACUCAAACAAUCCUAUGGUUUUAUUCCAUGACUCUUAUCUAGGACUCUAAGCAUGAGCCCUGUAACUCUCUGAUCACAGUCAGAAUUGGGUACCAUCUCUGAUAUAGACACCCCUUGGUGGAAUUUUCACAACAGCUGAAGAUGAGUGGUCUUCUAUAAAAGUUUUAUGAAGAUCUUGGUUCCUUGGGUGCUUUUGUGGCUUUGCAUGAAGAGCCUGAGGCUACAGGUGCCUCACUGCAGAGGACGCCCAGCAGUCACUAACUGAGCACCACUCCUUUUCAGUAGUUCUCUGCCAUGCUUUUGUGUUACCUGUUUCCACAGGCUUGGAAUGGGGUCUAUGCUAAUGGCAAGGUAAGGGAAGGGGGAGGGCAGGGCAAAAAGUUCUUGGUCACAUCAAGCAAAAUAAAUCAAGUACAAGGACUCAAGAUUAUCUGGAGGAUUAAUAUCCUUACACCCUCAGAGGGUGGAGUUAGAUACCGUAGGGUUUAAUAAUGCAACAGAAGUGACAGGCAGAAUCAGUUCUGCCUUGGUGAACUGGAAAGGGCAAUGUAUCAGAAAUUCUAGUUUAAUAUCAACAUUUACCAAAAAAAAAAAAA